UCAUUUUGGCCUUGAGCAGGGCUGGACUGGGACAAAAAAAUUGGCCCUGGCAUUUUUGGCCCAGGCGGCCCACACCCACCAUGAUUGGUCACACAUUCCCUGCAGACAGUCCUCUUAAAAUAUGCGUGCAUUCUAUGAUAUGAGUUGCCUAGUGUUUUGCGUUCAUGUGAUCAUUUUGGAUCCUUCAAAAGGGGUCC